rnacentral:rRNA from 1 species
GAUGAACGCUGGCGGCGUGCUUAACACAUGCAAGUCGAACGGAAAGGCCCUGCUCUUGUGGGGUGCUCGAGUGGCGAACGGGUGAGUAACACGUGAGGAACCUGCCCUUGACUUUGGGAUAACUUCAGGAAACUGGGGCUAAUACCGGAUAGGAGCUCCUGCUGCAUGGGGGGGGUUGGAGAGUGUCGGCGGUGGGGGAUGGACUGGCGGCUUAUCAGCUUGUUGGUGGGGUAGUGGCGUACCAAGUCUUAGAAGGAUAGCCGGCCUGAGAGGGUGACCGGGCACAAUGGGACUGAGAUAGGGCCCAGACGCCUACGGGAGGCAGCGGUGGGGAAUCUGGCACAGUGAGCGGAAGCCUGAUGCGGCAACGCCGCGUGCGGGAUGACGGCCUUCGGGUUGUAAACCGCUUUCGCCUGUGACGAAGCGGGAGUGACGGUAAUGGAUAAAGAAGCACCGGCUAACUACGUG